CUGUGUGACCCUGAGCAUCUCACUUAACCUUUCUGUGCUUCAGGUCCCGAGUUGUAACAGCUCCCCCUUCUCUGGGCUACUGUGAGCACUGCGGGGUCAUACACCUGGAGGGCUAAGGCCGGAGGAUUACACUCAGGGAGCUGGGUCCAGAGCGCUGGCAAAGCCCAGCACUGUAAGGAAUUCAAGAGUACGCUAAUGACAUUUCCCAUUGUGACCUGUGAAUAUAUGGGAAUGAAAAUUGCUGGGAUCGCCUCUGCUAUGCAUGGCCUCUGAUGGGGGCAUUCCAGGUUCCUACCUCCUCACACUUGCUCCCACUGAUCCUGCAUCUGGAAGGCUGUCCUCCUCACACCCCACACCAUCAACUCUUCUCUCUAGCUUCCCUGUGUCUACCCUUCCCUAGAACUGUAUUCACGCCCCAU
rnacentral:lncRNA from 1 species